rnacentral:lncRNA from 1 species
CUCAUCAACAAAAAUUCUCAUCAAAAAAAGUGUGAACAAAUUACGAUCCUGCAUCCCUUCUAACUGUAAUCGUUAAAAUACUGAGGUUUACAGCAUAUACAUGUACGGUAAAGCAUUUAGCAGGAUGGUAUGGGGCCAGGUCUGGAAUCUAGCCAGGACAUAUUUACAGUAAAGCAUUUAGCAGGAUGGUAUGGGGCCAGGUCUGGAAUCUAGCCAGGACAUAUUAACAUUAAAGCAUUUAGCAGGAUGGUAUGGGGCCAGGUCUGGAAUCUAGCCAGGACAUAUUAACAGUAAAGCAUUUAGCAGG